rfam:TPA: Bos taurus chromosome 11, whole genome shotgun sequence.
UCCCUAGUGGCUCAUAGGGUAAAGUGUCUGCCUGCAAUGCAGAAGACCUGGGUUUGAUCCCUGGGUCGGGAA